rnacentral:lncRNA from 1 species
CUUCGGUGACCUUAGAUCAUCAUGAUAAUCUUGACGCAGUGGGCUGCCAGUCCUGCGCAAGUAGUCUGGCCGAUCUCGACCAGAUCCCGAAUGGAACCUACUAGGGUUGGCAUUGGCGUUUCCAUAAUGCAUCACAUGCUACCGGUGCCAUGCGAAGUCAUCCUCUUCCCUAAAUUUCCUCUUCAGUGAGGAUGGUGCCCCUUCCGAGGGAACCCAAGGGCCAUCAAGCCUGAGGGAAGCCCAGAAGUCGUGCUGGGUGCCCAGGCC